ensembl:lincRNA
UCUGCAAGCUGACUGGAUAUGCACGAAUCUAUGUGGAUCUGAGAGAGAAUUAUAAGGAAUGAAAAGAGGCGAAGAAAUUUCCUCGUCAGGACAGAGUCCCCACGUCAAGUCAAAUCUCCUCUCGGGCAGCCUGCAGAGCCUGUGGCGGGCGGUGACCGGCCCUCUCUUUGAUUUCCAAGGAGACCCAGCUCAGCAAGGCGGAACCCUCAUUUUGGGUCCAGGGAACAGUAUCCACUUUAUACAUCGCGACAGGAACAGGUUGGAUCACAAACCCAUAAACUCUGUGUUACAGCUCGUAGGCAUUCCCCACGUGGACUUCACAAGCGGACCCUCAGUUAUCCGUGUGUAACCACCUGCUGGCCCUGCCCCUCCCAGCUGGCCACAGAGAUGGGCUGAGUCCCAGUUGGGAGGUGCGCAGGGUGAUGGGGCUCAGCCUGCCUUGAAGAGGGCUAAGGACACAAAGCAUCCGUGCCCGUUGAUUGCUAGCUGAGAGGCAUCUUUACCCAAAAUGAGAGACAUAUUUAAACUUCCACCACCUCUAAGAUAACUACAUACAAAUAUACAAAUGAAAACAUUAAAGGUCAUUAAAUUCUGAGUAGCAUUAAUAAAGGUGUUCUGGGGAAUUCAGACAUAUAAACAGAAAGCAGGCACAGUGAUUCUUCUGCCUGUGGUCCGGGCUGCUUGGGGGGCUGAUACGGAAAAAUCUCAAGGGAACCCAGGAGUCUGAGGCCAGCCUGUGCAACAGUGAGAGCCCAUUUCAGAAACAUUUUCAGUACAUAUUGACGGAAUAUACAGAGGGAAAGGAAAGAACUAAACACUGCUUAAUUCAAUAAAAAAAAAAAAGUGUCUCAGGUGGCUGUGGGGGCACACACUUGCAACCCAGCACUCAGCAGGCUGAUUGGAAGUUUCAACGCCAGCCUGCACUACCAAGUCAGAUCUUGUUGCAAAACAGAAAACAAUUACGUCAAAUUGUAAUCAGUGGGGGCUGGGGAUUUAGCUCAGCAGCAUAAGCACCUGCCUUGCAAGCAGGCGGUCAUGAGUUCGAUCCCUGGUACCGUUAAAAAGUUAAAAAAAAAAAAAUUGUAGUCAGUGUAACCAUCUUAUACCAUGUAUAUAAACACUAGAAAAUAAACACUAGAAUAUUGCCAGUAAGGUGCAUGUCUGUAUGGGAUGAUUACAGGUGGUGUUGUUGGCCAGACUUCUCUGUAUUUUUUAUUCUCUAAUGAGUGUAACUGAUUAUCUUUGGCCAGGAAAGAUCUUUAAACAUUCUAGGAUGAGCAUCUGCCUGCACAAAACCUCUGCAGAGAUGCGCAUUGUGUAGAACCACAUGUUCCUAUCCUAAUACAGCCCAAAAACCAAAGAACCUGGUCACCGUGUGCCUGCUACCCAUCCCCCUAGGUAUUUUUGGUGGGGAGAAGGAGAUUAAGAGAAAUACUUGCUAUAUUCCCAGCUCCUGCUUCGGACUUUUAAAAUAUGUUCAGUGUAGUGUUGCAUGCCUGUCAUCCCAGCACCUAGAGAAGCUAAGGCAGGAGGAGUACAGUUUGAGCCCAGCCUGGGCAAUUUAGCCACGUAAUGAGACCCUGUCUCAAAAUUUUACAGUGGUUAGAGAUAUGUAGCUCAGUGCAAAGGCCCGGGAUUCAGUCACUAAUACCACAAAAACAAGUAUUUAAAGUCCAGCAAGGUCUGGAGCAUCCCUUGCACUAUAUUUAAAACAGAAAAAAUUACAUGGCUGGGGAUAUAGCUCAGUUUAGCACAAGGCCUUAGGUUCAGUUCCUGGUACCAGAAAAGGGAGAACAAAAAAUGAUAAAUUAGGGCUGGGGAUUUAGCUCAGCGGCAUAAGUGCCUGCCUUGCAAGCAGGCAGUCGUGAGUUCGAUCCCUGGUACUGAUAAAAAUGAAAAAAAGACAAAAAAAAAAAAAAUGAUAAAUUGUCAUGCUUUUAGAAAGGAAAUUUUGGCCAGGGAUUUAGCUCAGGGGUGUAAGCACCUAAUGGCUGGCACAAGGUUGUGAGUUUGAUUCCUGGUACAAAAAAAAAAAUUUAUCUGUAAGAAUUGUUUCAGUUUUUGAGACUUUGAAACUUAAAUGUAUGCUGUCCCUAGACAACUUAUUUCUCACGCCUAAAGUGCUCUUAUCUAGAUGUCUGUUAUCUUAUUUUCUGCAGCCUUAAUGUGUUUGUUGGGAAGUGUCUUAGAAAACUGAGAAAGUACAGCAAAAUCAAAAUUGGUCAUUACUGGCAAACAUAAUACUUCUUUGAAUGUAUAAUACUUUUGUAUAAAGCAUGCGGUCACAAAAUAUGUAUUUAAUGUAUCCCGAUAUUUUAAUGUAUUUCAUACCUGUACACAUGAACAAUCCAGUUUUUAAUAAACUUUCUCAUAAAUUUUAAAUUAUUUUGUGCAAUUUUUUAAUAAAGGCUGAUGAUGGAGAUCCCUUUGCUUUUAGACUUAUAAUUGCUGAAUCAAGCUUAUAGUAAAAUGUAUGUACAUAUUGACCUACACCACUGAGCCCCAGAAUUUGAGACCACUCUGGACAAUAUAGUGAGACUGCAAAAAAGCAAAGCAAGAAGGGUCAGAAGCCAGAGGGUGGCAAGUUGCAUGUUUUCAGCCACAG